rnacentral:rRNA from 1 species
ACAGCAGUCGCCACGGUAAUACGUAGGUGGCCAGCGUUGUCCGGAAUUAUUGGGCGUAAAGGGCUCGCAGGCGGUUUCUUAAGUCUGAUGUGAAAGCCCCCGGCUCAACCGGGGAGGGUCAUUGGAAACUGGGAAACUUGAGUGCAGAAGAGGAGAGUGGAAUUCCACGUGUAGCGGUGAAAUGCGUAGAGAUGUGGAGGAACACCAGUGGCGAAGGCGACUCUCUGGUCUGUAACUGACGCUGAGGAGCGAAAGCGUGGGGAGCGAACAGGAUUAGAUACCCGUGUAGUCCCUGUCUCUUAUAC